rnacentral:rRNA from 1 species
UACGAAGGGUGCAAGCGUUACUCGGAAUUACUGGGCGUAAAGCGUGCGUAGGUGGUCAUGUAAGUCCGCUGUGAAAGUCAAAGGCUCAACCUUUGAAAGCCGGUGGAUACUGCAUGACUAGAGUACGGAAGAGGCGAGUGGAAUUCCUGGUGUAGCGGUGGAAUGCGCAGAUAUCAGGAGGAACACCGAUGGCGAAGGCAGAUCUCUGGGCCAUUACUGACGCUGAGGAGCGAAAGCGUGGGGAGCGAACAGG